GUGUAAGCCAAAAGUAAAUGAUCCCACCCUCACCCGGACAACUGACUGAAAUGGAGAACUGCAGCUAAUGUGACUAUCGUCAUGGAAUACUACGUCAGUAGUGCAGUUCUGAGUUUGUCUUUAUUUUGCCCGUAAGAAAAAAAGAUUGAAAUAGAAGAGAAAACUACCGUAAAACGCGUUUUGAAAAAGCCGAGCAAGGAAUAAGCGAACAAUUUUACCUGAUAAUUUGCUUGAAACGAUCUUUGAUUAUCUACUGUUACGGACCUCAAUGUAGAAAAUACGUCGCGUUCUGGAAGUAUCGCAGUGACCAGUGCGGGUGAAAAUUGGCCACAACUCGUGUAUAAUAGGCUAACUUAUCCCAUUUGAAAGGUUUCGGGAAAAAAAGAUCUGUAGGAAAGACUAAGAAAUAAUUAAGAUCAGAUUUAUGAGUAGCAAAACAAACCACGGAAAGUUCUGAGAGCUGAAUCUUAGUCGAAACGUUCCAUUUCAUCGUGUAGCGAAUUCUUGAAAAUUUGGCACUUGAAAUGUUG